rnacentral:rRNA from 1 species
GUGACCUCAAAUCAGGUAGGACUACCCGCUGAACUUAAGCAUAUCAAUAAGCGGAGGAAAAGAAACUAACAAGGAUUCCCCUAGUAACUGCGAGUGAAGCGGGAAAAGCUCAAAUUUAAAAUCUGUCAGUCUUUGGCUGACCGAGUUGUAAUCUAGAGAAGCGUUAUCCGCGCUGGACCGUGUACAAGUCUCCUGGAAUGGAGCGUCAUAGAGGGUGAGAAUCCCGUCUUUGACACGGACUGCCAGGGCUUUGUGAUGCGCUCUCAAAGAGUCGAGUUGUUUGGGAAUGCAGCUCAAAAUGGGUGGUAAAUUCCAUCUAAAGCUAAAUAUUGGCGAGAGACCGAUAGCGAACAAGUACCGUGAGGGAAAGAUGAAAAGAACUUUGGAAAGAGAGUUAAACAGUACGUGAAAUUGCUGAAAGGGAAACGCUUGAAGUCAGUCGCGUUGUCCAGGGAUCAACCUUGCUUUUGCUUGGUGUACUUUCUGGUUGACGGGUCAGCAUCAAUUUUGACUAUUGGAAAAAGAUCAAGGGAAUGUGGCAUCUUUGGAUGUGUUAUAGCCUUUGGUUGCAUACAAUGGUUGGGAUUGAGGAACUCAGCACGCCGCAAGGCCGGGUUUUUUAACCACGUACGUGCUUAGGAUGCUGGCAUAAUGGCUUUAAUCGACCCGUCUUGAAACACGGACCAAGGAGUCUAACAUGCCUGCGAGUGUUUGGGUGGAAAACCCGAGCGCGUAAUGAAAGUGAAAGUUGAGAUCCCUGUCGUGGGGAGCAUCGACGCCCGGACCAGACCUUUUGUGACGGCUCCGCGGUAGAGCAUGUAUGUUGGGACCCGAAAGAUGGUGAACUAUGCCUGAAUAGGGUGAAGCCAGAGGAAACUCUGGUGGAGGCUCGUAGCGAUUCUGACGUGCAAAUCGAUCGUCAAAUUUGGGUAUAGGGGCGAAAGACUAAUCGAACCAUCUAGUAGCUGGUUCCUGCCGA